UACGAAGGGGGCUAGCGUUGUUCGGAAUUACUGGGCGUAAAGCGCGCGCAGGCGGUUCUUCAAGUCAGUGGUGAAAGCCCGGAGCUCAACUCCGGAACUGCCAUUGAAACUGUGGAACUUGAGGAUGAGAGAGGUGAGUGGAAUUCCCAGUGUAGAGGUGAAAUUCGUAGAUAUUGGGAAGAACACCGGUGGCGAAGGCGGCUCACUGGCUCAUUUCUGACGCUCAGGCGCGACAGCGUGGGGAUCGAAACAGG
rnacentral:rRNA from 1 species